rnacentral:rRNA from 1 species
AGUGAACGCUGGCGGUAGGCCUAACACAUGCAAGUCGAACGGCAGCACAGUAAGAGCUUGCUCUUACGGGUGGCGAGUGGCGGACGGGUGAGGAAUACAUCGGAAUCUACUUUUUCGUGGGGGAUAACGUAGGGAAACUUACGCUAAUACCGCAUACGACCUACGGGUGAAAGCAGGGGAUCUUCGGACCUUGCGCGAUUGAAUGAGCCGAUGUCGGAUUAGCUAGUUGGCGGGGUAAAGGCCCACCAAGUCGACGAUCCGUAGCUGGUCUGAGAGGAUGAUCAGCCACACUGGAACUGAGACACGGUCCAGACUCCUACGGGAGGCAGCAGUGGGGAAUAUUGGACAAUGGGCGCAAGCCUGAUCCAGCCAUACCGCGUGUGUGAAGAAGGCCUUCGGGUUGUAAAGCCCUUUUGUUGGGAAAGAAAAGCAGCAGGUUAAUACCCCGCUGUUCUGACGGUACCCAAAGAAUAAGCACCGGCUAACUUCGUG